rnacentral:rRNA from 1 species
ACGGGAGGCAGCAGUGGGGGAUAUUGCACAAUGGGGGAAACCCUGAUGCAGCGACGCCGCGUGAAGGAAGAAGGCCUUCGGGUUGUAAACUUCUGUCGUACGGGACGAUAAUGACGGUACCGUACAAGAAAGCCACGGCUAACUACGUGCCAGCAGCCGCGGUAAAACGUAGGUGGCAAGCGUUGUCCGGAAUUACUGGGUGUAAAGGGAGCGCAGGCGGACUAGCAAGUUGGAAGUGAAAUCUAUGGGCUCAACCCAUAAAUUGCUUUCAAAACUGCCGGUCUUGAGUAGUGCAGAGGUAGGCGGAAUUCCCGGUGUAGCGGUGGAAUGCGUAGAUAUCGGGAGGAACACCAGUGGCGAAGGCGGCCUACUGGGCACCAACUGACGCUGAGGCUCGAAAGUAUGGGUAGCAAACAGGAUUAGAUACCCUGGUA